GGUUCAUUGAGAAAUCCUUAGUGCUAUUGACAUGUUUCAAGGGACAUAAAUUAGCCAAUGACUCGGAAUGACGGAUUCCCCGAAGAGUGGAAAUGGUUUGCCAGUGGUUGGACCAGGGGCUGAUAUAGGGAAAUCUUCACUCCACAUGGUGGGGUACUUGGGAAAAAAUUAUGAUUCAGCUAAAGUUUUAUCAGAUGGGUAUUGCCCUUCUUGUAGGGCGAAGGGAAAGUUAAAAGCCUUAAAGACUUACCGAAUUAGUUUUCAAGAAUCUGUCUUUUUGUGUGAGGAUCUGCAGUGCAUCUAUCCUUUAGGCUCUAAAUCACUUAAUAACUUAAUUUCUCCGGGUUUGGAAGAUUGUCACACUCCAAAUAAGCCUCAAAAGAGAAAGAUCUUGGAAACCAACUGUGAAGAUUUACCUUUUUUAGCAGAUUCCAAAAAGACUAAAAAUCAUCGAGGCAUUGACAGUGAACAAGUUUUGAACAGUAGCCAUAAUGGAGGAGAAUAUGAUGGAACCUCACCAGGCUUACCUGGUUCACUGUACAGUGGACAGCAGAAUCCAGUUAGGACAGCUGAUUCCUGGGAGCAGAAUGAGGCUAUGGAAGCUGAUACUGUUGACAUGGCUCCUGAGGAAGAUGCUACCAUGGUUGAUGUUUCUGGAACUGAAGGAACUAGCCCUCAAAAUGAAAGAUGCACAUCUGAACUGGAAAAGCCACUGGAGAGCAAACAUACCUCAUUUUGCCAGACUUCAUGUGUCCAGUGGAAGAACGCACAUGCCCUGUGUUGGUUAGACUGUAUCCUGUCAGCACUGGUGCACUUGGAAGGGCUGAAAAGCACUGUGACUGAUCUGUGCUCUAAAGAGGAGUCCGUGUUCGGGCGGUUGUUUACCAGGUAUAAUGAAGCCAAUAAGCUUCUGCACACCAGUCAGCUGGAUGGAGUUAAAGAUGGAGAUUGUAAAAAGCUUCCUUCAGAAAUAUUUGCAAAGAUAGAGACCUGUCUGAAUGAAGUAAGAGAUGAAAUUUUUAUUAGACUUCAACCUCAGCUUAGAUGUACAUUAGGUGAUAUGGAAAGCCCUGUGUUUGCAUUUCCCCUGCUCUUAAAAAUAGAACCCCACAUUGAACAGCUCUUCACAUACUCUUUUUCUUGGAAUUUUGAAUGUUCACACUGUGGACACAAGUAUCAAAACAGAGUCUCUCUCGUAUUCAUGUUACACUUUGUGGAAGGCUUACCCCAUAAUGACUUGCAGCGCUAUUCAUUUCAUUCUGAAGGCUGUCUUUAUCAAGUAACUUCUGUAAUUCAGUACCAAGCAAAUAAUCAUUUUGUCACAUGGAUUUUAGAUGCUGAUGGAAGUUGGCUAGAAUGUGAUGACUUAAAAGGCCUGUGUUCUGAAAGGCAUGAGACAUUUCAGGUUCCCGCUUCGGAGAUACAUAUUGUUAUUUGGGAAAGAAAAACAUCCCAGAUGACAGAUAAAGCACCUGCCUGCCGUCAACUUAAAAAGACUAGUGACCAGUACACUUUUGGCAACGAGAAGCAAGCGUCUCCAGCAGCAUGUUCUACAGGCAAAGCUGCCUCAGCUGAACUGUCUUCAGGAACGCACCCCACGGAUGUGUCCAUGGUUCCUAAUACCCUCUCACAGGAUGAAGCCGUAGCUCCUGGACAUCAUUCUCUUCCAGAUCUGAAAGGUUCAGUUGACAGCAGUAUCUUACCUUUGACACUUGAAGAAAUACAGUCCAACUCUGAAGGUUUUUUAUUAGAACACAAACCUGUGGCAGAAAAUGUAGGGGUUGUUGAAGCAAACACUUUGCAGUCAGAGGAGCCACUCAUAGCUUCUUUAGUGGCCCCAUGCGAGGACAAGCUUACCCACAACCAGUCUGUGGAUUUAAGCUUUUCAUCCCAACUCUUAGCUAUGCCAUCAGUACAGGUGACUACAGAAGAUACCGUAGUUACUCAGCCUGUGAAUGACACUCGUGCUGGGGACCUUACACAGCAAGUAAAGUCAGUAGACACUGAGGGUACAGUUGCGCUAGAGAGGAAUGCUUCAUUGAAACAAUGUCUUGUACCAGAAACUGAGAAGUUAAAUCCAGAACAACAUGUUACAUCUCAGGUAUCUGAUUGGAAGGAAGAAGAAACCACAGCAUUUUCUCAAACUGUAAUAGCUAAGCCGUUACAGAAUCCACCUCUGAAAGAGAAGAAACCAUUUGUGGGAAGUUGGGUAAAAGGCUUAUUAAGCAAGGGUGUUUCUUUUAUGCCCUCUUGUGUUUCAGCUCAUAACAGAAACACUGUGACUGAUUUGCAGCCUUCAGUUAAGGGGGCAAGUAAUUUUGGUGGCUUUCAAACUAAAGGUUCAAGACAAAAGGCCAGCCAGGCCUCCAGGAAAGCUCACAGGAGGGCAGCUAAGCUGCCUCUGGUGAGUAACUCUCCUCCAAGCCAUCAGUCACCAGCCAGCACAGCUUCCCCUCCCCGUGCUGAUGGCGCUGGUGAUUCGGAAGUUUGGAAGAGAUGUGAAAGUGCCUCCUGUGGAGCUCACCUCAACCACAGUUCUCAUGGAAAUGAAAAUGGUGUUUUGUCACCAAACCAUGGAGACACAAUUGAGGGUCAGAUUCAUAAACUCCGUCUAAAACUUCUUAAAAAACUUAAGGCAAAAAAGAAGAAAUUAGCCGCUCUGAUGUCUUCCCCCCAAAACGGAACACUUCCAAGUGAACCUUCAGAACAGGUGUCCCAUUGUGGGUCUCCAAAUGACGGUGAGUCAAUAGAAGGCUUGCUAAAAGAACUGCAGCGUCAAAUUGACAUUGCCGAUAAUAAAUCAGGGUGCGCCACAGUUCCCGGUGUUUCCCCGUACGGUGGUCAGACGCAUGAAGAAAUUCUAGCAGAAUUACUGUCCCCGACCAGUGUGGUUUCAACAGAGCUCUCAGAAAACCGGGAGGCUGACUUCAGGUAUUUAGAAAUGGGAGAUAGUCACAUCCUGGCACCAGUUCCCAAUGAAUUCAACAGUAUUCCCCACAACACACAUCUGAGGCAGGAGCAUAAUUACUGCAGCCCUAAGAAAAACCAGAGUGAACUUCAGCCAGAUUCACUCACAAAUAAUGCUUUUAUUAGAACAUUGAACUCGGAAAGUCCCAUGAAGACUGAUAUUUUUGAUGAGUUUUUUUCUGCUUCAGCAUUAAAUUCUUUAGCAAAUGACACAUUAGACUUACCUCAUUUUGAUGAAUAUCUGUUUGAGAAUUGUUGA
rnacentral:lncRNA from 1 species